GUUUGUGAGCGUGGUCUGGCCGCGACGUCCGCCGCCCCCCUGAUCCGCAGGGUUGACUGGCCGUGAAGGGUGUCCCCUUCCCCCUCACCGCUCCCCGUGUGUCCCUCCCCCCGAAGCUGCGCUCGGUCGAAAAGGGGGACCGUACCUGAAAAGAGGAGGACCGUGCUUCCGUCAAGGGAAUACAAGUAGCUGGGCUGCCCUGCUGGAGCCUCCAAGGAAGCUCUCGGGGCCCAUUUGUAGGGGGACGUAGGGUGGUCACACUGCCAAGACUCCAGACACGGCCAGAUGAGGCCCGCAUGUAGCAGUCUGCCUUCU
rnacentral:snRNA from 1 species